AGAAAAAAUAUCUAUCGACAAUCAAUAAUAAUGAUUAAAUAUGUACUAUAUCGUCCUAUUAUUAGUACAAUUGAACAUAAUCCUCAGCUAAACAAUACAAAUCGCACGCUAUUACAUCCAUUAUUCAUAUUAUAUUGUAUGGCUAGAAGCGGGGGAAAAAAAACGUUUGUUUUUUUUACCUAAAGAGUUUGUUUGUUUCCGCGUACAAAAAAAAAAAAAUAUAUAU